CGUUCUCUCAGGUUCUGGCUCGGCCCCCGGAAUUUGGCCAGAACCCUUUCAGCCGGCUCGAUCCGAGCCGGUUUUUUUUU
rnacentral:ncRNA from 1 species